GUGUGUGUGCGCUGCAUGGUGUUCGCAGGUCCGCGGUGUGCGCUGCAUGGACCCUAUGAGCAGGAGAAUGCACAGGGAGUUAUUCUGUGGGGCUCCUCUUAAUUAAUGAUUGGCGGGGAGGUGAUAUUUGCCGGGUGUGCACCAUUUAUGGAAUUAUCUGUUUUUCAGUGAGCGUGAAUUGGAAGAAGUCGUAACAUUUUACAUACUUAAAAAUAAAUCUGCCAGUGUCUUUGUGCGGACAGAGAACAGCGCCAACUGCAGAGAUCCAAGAGGACGGCAGAACAGUGAGUGAUAUUACAUUUAUGGCUUCUGAUACCAGUCUGCACAGCUUGUGCCCAGCUCCACCGGGCCAGCCUGCUCUCUCAUGUCAGUUUGUUCGCUCAGUAUCUGCCAUGCUCCCCGAUGCCAGUCUGCUCAAUAUCGGCCAUGCUCCCCGAUGCCAGUCUGCUCAGUAUUGGCCAUGCUCCCCGAUGUCAGCCUGCUCAGUAUCUGCCAUGCUCCCCGAUGUCAGUCUGAUCGCUUAGUAUCUGCCAUGCUCUCUCAUGUCAGUUUGUUCGCUCAGUAUCGGCCAUGCUCCCCCAUGCCAGUCUGCUCAGUAUCUGCCAUGCUCCCCCAUGCCAGUCUGCUCAGUAUCUGCCAUGCUCCCCGAUUUCAGUCUGCUCAGUAUCUGCCAUGCUCCCCGAUGCCAGUCUGCUCAGUAUCUGCCAUGCUCCCUUAUGUCAGUCUGCUCAGUGUCUGCCAUGCUCCCCGAUGCCAGUGUGCUCAGUAUCUGCCAUGCUCCCCGAUGUCAGUCUGCUCAGUAUCUGCCAUGCUCCCCGAUGUCAGUCUGCUCAGUAUCUGCCAUGCUCCCCGAUGUCAGUCUGCUCAGUAUCUGCUAUGCUCCCCGAUGUCAGUCUGCUCAGUAUCUGCUAUGCUCCCCGAUGCCAGUCUGCUCAGUAUCUGCCAUGCUCCCCGAUGCCAGUCUGCUCAGUAUCUGCCAUGCUCCCUUAUGUCAGUCUGCUCAGUGUCUGCCAUGAUCCCCGAUGCCAGUUCAAUGAGCUCAGUCACUGUGUUGGAUUUCAGGUAUCCCAGCCACUCGCUCAAACUCUGAGAAGCAGCCGCCAGUGUUGUCUAAUCGUUAUGCAAACUGCCGUCUCCCGGUAACGUAAUUUUCAAUGGUGGUAAUUGGUCUCCCAGGAUACAUUCUGCCGCACAGCUUCAUCGUCCCUGGAAUGUCCGCCAAUAGGUGCAAGAUGGGAUCUUUAUUUACAUUCCAAAAAAUAAAUAUAAUUGUUAAACCCUA